rnacentral:rRNA from 1 species
GGACCCGCACAAGCGGUGGAUGAUGUGGAUUAAUUCGAUGCAACGCGAAAAACCUUACCUACCCUUGACAUGUCCAGAAGCUCUUAGAGAUUUGAGUGUGCCCGAAAGGGAACUGGAACACAGGUGCUGCAUGGCUGUCGUCAGCUCGUGUCGUGAGAUGUUGGGUUAAGUCCCGCAACGAGCGCAACCCUUGUCGUUAAUUGCCAUCAUUUAGUUGGGCACUUUAACGAGACUGCCGGUGACAAACCGGAGGAAGGUGGGGAUGACGUCAAGUCCUCAUGGCCCUUAUGGGUAGGGCUUCACACGUCAUACAAUGGUCGGUACAGAGGGUUGCCAAGCCGCGAGGUGGAGCCAAUCCCAGAAAGCCGAUCGUAGUCCGGAUCGUAGGCUGCAACUCGCCUGCGUGAAGUCGGAAUCGCUAGUAAUCGCGGAUCAGCAUGUCGCGGUGAAUACGUUCCCGGGUCUUGUACACACCGCCCGUCACACCAUGGGAGCGGGUUCCGCCAGAAGUAGGUAGCCUAACCGCAAGGAGGGCGCUUACCACGGCGGGGUUCGUGACUGGGGUGAAGUCGUAACAAGGUAGCCGUAGGGGAACCUGCGGCU